UCUCUCUCAAAAUUUCCCCUUUCUCCCCGAAACCCUAGAACGGGCGGCGAUUCCGGCGACUCCGGCGAGGCUGGGUGCAGCGGGGCUGGGCGGCACUCUAGGCAGGCGGGGGCGGCGCACUCCAAGGCAGCCAUGGCGUCCAGGCCGGCAAGCUCCACUGCGACCACGGCAUGCCGAGCUCAGAUUUGUUUUCAAGGGAUUGACUCUUUCACUUCCCCUUUUUUUGUGAAGUCUGGGGACUGCGGAUUUUGGGAGUGGUGUGAUGAUGAGGCAGAACCAUAUAUGAAGCAACAGCUGUUGCUUGAUUUGAGGAAUGCAAUGUGGUCUGCACGUGAGCAAGUGAAUGGCCUGGAGGCUGCACUUCGGGACAGGACAGUAGCCCAGCACAACUUGCAGUCUACCCCCAAGAAAGAAAGCAAUGAGGUUCAGGGUCUGAGAGCUGCUGUAGAGAAGAUGGAAGCUGCAAAUUGUGUUUUAGUUGAUAGGAUUAACAAACAACAGACAUCUGUUCUACUAGAAUUUGUAAUUGCAAAUUGGAAUGAAUGCAAAAUUGUGGUUUUGUUUGAGAUGACAGUUAAAAAUCAGUUGGAGAUAAUGGAAACAGCAAAAGUGAUGAUAAAUAAUGACAUAUAUUGCCACAUCUGGAACCCAUUGUAUCUGAUUACAUCAGCAAGUAAACAAGAGUGGUGGCAGUAA
rnacentral:lncRNA from 1 species